rnacentral:rRNA from 1 species
CCCUUAGAUGUUCUGGGCCGCACGCGCGCUACACUGACUACUUCAACGAGUUGUUUCCUUGAUCGAAAGGUCUGGGUAAUCUUUGAAAGGUAGUCGUGAUGGGGAUAGAUCCUUGCAAUUUUUGAUCUUCAACGAGGAAUUCCUAGUAAACGCAAGUCAUCAGCUUGCAUUGAUUACGUCCCUGCCCUUUGUACACACCGCCCGUCGCACCUACCGAUUGAGUGAUCCGGUGAAUAAUUCGGACUGCGGCAUUGACCGGUUCCCGAUCGUUGCUGCGGAAAGUUUAGUGAACCUUAUCACUUAGAGGAAGGAGAAGUCGUAACA